GUCAACAAAAAUAACAGCUACAAAUGCCUUUAUUCUAAAACAACAGAGUAUACUACUGAGGCCAUAAUUCUGAAUAACCACAAAAUACAAAGUACACCUCCUUUGUUAUGAAGUCACAAACAUGUAACCCUAUCAAGUGUUGACAAUAGCAUGUGGGUUACAAUUUGAUUAUAUCCUUUUAAAAGAAACCAUGGAAAAGUCACAUAAGCUGCACAUAACAAGUUUAUCCAAAUGUGAAGCAUCCUAUGUCACAGGGAUAGGCCUUUGUAAUAAAGAUAUGUACAAAACUCCAAGACAGAAUGAAUAAAAACACAUCCCACUCACAAAUGUAUAUGACAAAAGUCACACAAAAUAAACAACGAUUUAUAAUUUGCUUGAAUCCAUAUUAUCCAAGUAAAUUUCCUAUAUAUCCAAUCCUGUCUACUAAAUGUGUUAACUGUUUCACUGUACCCGACAAACCACCCCCGUCUGGAGUUAUAGCGAGCUCUGGUCAUAACAUCGUGCAACACGCAAUCAUACUAACAACAGUUACUGCACACACUGCAGCGCAGACAGUCUGCAUAAUACGCCACAGCAUUAAACAAUCCCCUUUGACCUUUGACCUAAUUCUUUACGAAGCUAAAUCCCACCUCUCGGUCUGGACAGGCCUCCCAGCUGUGUAGCGGAACCGGUCUGUUUAAGGAUAUUCGAAUGUUUUACAAGAGUGAUGACUUCGUAUCAAUAUAGACCUUUCAGGCGAUAGGAGGAGCUUAUGAACAAUUUACAUAGAAAGGUGGGAGAACCACGAAGUACAAACUCAAUAGACAUCGUCACGUAUCAAUGAUGACAUAUUAACAACACAAUUUAGGAUUUCAAUAUUACAAGGUGUAAUCAAUGUGUCAUUAAAACAAAAGCCCAUUCAAAGUGAUAUAGCAAUGUGUCGCGAGCAUAUAUACACGGAACUGUUUUCGUAAAAGUUCCCGGAUGUUUAAUUUCAAUGAUCGACAUGGCGUUGUUAAUCUCAGACAUGUCGAUUUCAGCAGACACACAGAUGAUUCUUCACAGCUUGGAUUAUGUUGAUAAAAUGAUCACAUGACAGAUUCUAUGGGAUUAUGGUAAUACUUCCUAGAUAUAUUCCCAAAGAUGACACUAUGUUGUUCAUUCCGAGUUGGAAAGUAUACAUCUAUCCGGAUAUUUAUGAACAGACUGACACAACAAAUGGACAAUUUGGCGAAGAGUUACCCGGAUGUCAGCUAUGUGGCGGUUCAUUGUAUGAUUUGUCAAAACUUUGUAAGUUUGAUUGCAAAUGGAUUUUUACUGAGGUAAUUAUUUAGCAAUAACAUUGUUUAUUGUUCUUAUUGUGUGAACAUGAGAUUGUGGUAUGUAGAUAUGUAAGUUUGAUCGCAUAAGAUAUAAUCAUUUUCAAAACAACAAAUCCAAAAUAUCUUUAAAUAAAGAGAUUGACUGUU